rnacentral:tRNA from 1 species
GCCGGAGUGGUGGAAUUGGUAGACGCAGAGGACUCAAAAUCCUCCGGGGGCGACCUCAUGUGAGUUCGAGUCUCACCUCCGGCA